rnacentral:tRNA from 1 species
GCGCUCAUGGCCUAAUGGAUAAGGCGCUUAACUUCUAAUCAAGCGAUUGUGGGUUCGAGUCCCACUGGGUGUG